rnacentral:pre_miRNA from 1 species
AAUAAGGUCAUUUUUCAGUUUUUAGAUUCAAUGUUUUGACUUUUCGUCUUAUUUGAAAUUUUUUUGCAAUUAAUAUUUUUAUUACUAGAUGAUAAAAUAUGAAUAGUACUUUACGCGUGACUAUUUUUUUAAAGUUUUUUACAAAUUUUUUAAAUAAAAAUAAAUGGUUAAACAUUUAACACAGAAAAAC